CAGGUAAACGUCUACAGCACAAAUAGAUUUCUACAAACGGCAUAGAACUCUUUCUCCCGAAGAAAUAGGUGGAUCAGUUCUUAUUUACAAUUUAAACUGAGUUGGUGAAACUGAACGCAUCUAUAAAAUCUAUUAUUAUCUAUGUAUCAUUGGCAUAGAAAGAAUUUUCAUCUAUGGGUCUUUCGGCUCGUCCCAUUUCUACGGUCACAUCCGUUAUAUCUUCUAUCUUCUCACAUCUUGCACUUGCAUUCUUCCAUACGACGAGAAGGUGCCAUCUUUUCUGUCUAGAAAUGGAAACGACGCCUGAAGGCUUGCUUUGAGAUGACAUCCUUGGAUUUGUCAGACAAACUACUUACAGAUGUAGUGAUUGUGGAAAUCAGACAACAAUGCUUCUAAUGAGCUGGUCAAAAAUUCGCAGGACAUAGGAUAUUGACAAUGAGUUGUCCACUGAAAAUAAUAAAUGAACAUGGAGAGAGUAAAUCGAAAGGACUGGAAACAGAGCCCUACUAAUACUUCUUCCUCUUGGACUUGGAGAAGGAUCAUUUGUCAAAAGGGAUAUCAUUGAAACGUAUUAAAUGAACCAGAAGAUAAAAAUUAAAAAGAUUUCGAAAUCUGGAGAAGUGAAGCCCCUUGGAUGUGAUUUACACUGAUGUAUAUAUAGUUGCAGUGUGAAAUUGUGCCUUCCUGCUGUGUGACCAUAUUUGAUAAUCAGUGGCAUUUUUCCUUUCAUAAGCAUCUAUUGUUCGAGGCACUCCUCUGUUGUAAAAGCUUAGGAAUAAAAUUCGAGCAUCGUACAGUAAUCCUCUAGGUUGAUGGACAAACAAGAGAGCAUUGAAGUAAGUUUGGAACAUCAUGGAACAACAAAUUGUCCACAAUAGAAUACCUGGAUUUCUCUUGCUGUUGAUUUCAUCACUUUGGACCAUUUUAUGCCUACAAGGAGAGCACAUUGAAGUUUCUUUGGAUCUCACUGGAACAACAAGUUUUCUACAAUAGAAUUGCUGCAUUUCACUCGCUUGAGAUUUCUUCGCUUUAGAUGAAUAAACAGUUCAUCUUUGACUGUAGGAAAAGCACAUUGAACUUUUAAUUAAGAUCGACGUUGGAGAAGACAAGAUGAUCCCAUAGUUGAAAU
rnacentral:lncRNA from 1 species